GUCCACGCCGUAAACGAUGAUAACUAGCUGUUAGGGUUCAUAGAACUUGAGUGGCGCAGCUAACGCAUUAAGUUAUCCGCCUGGGGAGUACGGUCGCAAGAUUAAAACUCAAAGGAAUUGACGGGGGCCUGCACAAGCGGUGGAGCAUGUGGUUUAAUUCGAAGUAACGCGCAGAACAUUACCAGCGUUUGACAUCCCGAUCGCGAUUACCAGAGAUGGUUUUCUUCAGUUAGGCUGGAUCGGUGACAGGUGCUGCAUGGCUGUCGU
rnacentral:rRNA from 1 species